AAUAGAUACCCAGUAGUCCACGCCGUAAACGAUGAGUGCUAAGUGUUAGGGGGUUUCCGCCCCUUAGUGCUGCAGCUAACGCAUUAAGCACUCCGCCUGGGGAGUACGGUCGCAAGACUGAAACUCAAAGGAAUUGACGGGGGCCCGCACAAGCGGUGGAGCAUGUGGUUUAAUUCGAAGCAACGCGAAGAACCUUACCAGGUCUUGACAUCCCAUUGACCACUAUGGAGACAUAGUUUUCCCUUCGGGGACAACGGUGACAGGUGGUGCAUGGUUGUCGUCAGCUCGUGUCGUGAGAUGUUGGGUUAAGUCCCGCAACGAGCGCAACCCUUGUUCUUAGUUGCCAUCAUUUAGUUGGGCACUCUAAGGAGACUGCCGGUGACAAACCGGAGGAAGGUGGGGAUGACGUCAAAUCAUCAUGCCCCUUAUGACCUGGGCUACACACGUGCUACAAUGGACGGUACAAACGGUUGCCGACCCGCGAGGGGAGCUAAUCCGAUAAAACCGUUCUCAGUUCGGAUUGUAGGCUGCAACUCGCCUACA
rnacentral:rRNA from 1 species